CAGGACGAACGCUGGCGGCGUGCCUAACACAUGCAAGUCGAGCGAGGAGAUCCUCGGGAUGAUCCUAGCGGCGGACGGGUGAGUAACACGUGGGCAACCUGCCUCAUAGAGAGGAAUAGCCUUCCGAAAGGGAGAUUAAUACCUCAUAACAUUGCAGUUUCGCAUGGAACAGCAAUUAAAGGAGUAAUCCGCUAUGAGAUGGGCCCGCGGCGCAUUAGCUAGUUGGUGAGGUAAUGGCUCACCAAGGCGACGAUGCGUAGCCGACCUGAGAGGGUGAUCGGCCACAUUGGGACUGAGACACGGCCCAGACUCCUACGGGAGGCAGCAGUGGGGAAUAUUGCACAAUGGGGGAAACCCUGAUGCAGCAACGCCGCGUGAGUGAUGACGGCCUUCGGGUUGUAAAGCUCUGUCUUCAGGGACGAUAAUGACGGUACCUGAGGAGGAAGCCACGGCUAACUACGUGCCAGCCGCCGC
rnacentral:rRNA from 1 species